rnacentral:lncRNA from 1 species
AUCAAUUUAAACAAAUGCUAUCAUGUAUCCCAAAGUACCUAUGUAUCAGUCUUUAUGCUCAAAAUGAACCAUUUCAAUUUACUGUACUUACUCCUGAUUUUCUUCUGCCACUUCAUCUCAUUGUAGAGAUCCUCUGUUUGAUGGAAAAAGUCAUUCACUUUACUUCCUUGUUCAUCCCUUUCUGUGGUAUUGAACACACGACACUUGGAUUCUCGCGUGAGAUAUUGUGUCCAACAUCUUUUGGAGAAACACCAUCAUCUCCGCCCUCAUCAUCCCCAUGAUCACAUUCCAAUCCUUGGUUAUAGGCAUUCUUCAUCACGUCCAUUCGAUAUUUACCAAGAGGAUUUAUGUCAUUUAGAAUCAAAGCGAUGAUGAUAUCAAUCCCAUUAGAUUCAUGAGUAGCAAUACAUGUCUAGAAAACAAAAUGUUUAUAAAAUCAUAUUCUAUUUAC